UUCUGAGAGGAUUGACAGAUUGAGAGCUCUUUCUUGAUUCGGUGGAUGGUGGUGCAUGUCCGUUCUUAGUUGGUGGAGCGAUUUGUCUGGUUAAUUCCGAUAACGAACGAGACUCUAGCCUAUUAAAUAGGUGCGUGGUUCUCUUCACCUUGCACCCUUCUUAGAGGGACAAGUGGCUCCUAGCCGCACAAAACAGAGAAAUAACAGGUCUGUGAUACCCUUAGAU
rnacentral:rRNA from 1 species